GCUGUCAUGCAACGUGUCUUUGCUCCUCCUUCACCUUCCGCCAUGAUUGUGAGGCUUCCCCAGCCAUGUGGAAACAUAUUCGCAGAGCACCCACUAGGUGCCAGUAAAUGUAUGAGAAGUCCUGUGGAAUAAGACUGAAGUUGUCCUUGCCUUCAAGCAACUUGCAAUUGCCUAAGAACACAGUUUAAAACCACAAAACUAAGCCUUGGAAAUCACAUGCUGUCAUUUCUGCGAUCGGUCAUAACCAGUCCUGAUUCCAUGUUAGAGGAGACUACAUAAGGACACAGGUACCAGAAGGCUGUACAGGAAGCAAGAUGCUGGCCAUCUGCUCAGCUUCUGGGGAGGCCUCAGGAAACUUUCAGUCAUGGCAGAAAGCAAAGGGGAAAUAGGAGACUAACCAGCAUGGGCUACAUCAAAAAGGCUGCCAUCUACUUUCUGCUGGGUAGGGGCACCAGAGAGACUUGUCAGAAACUAGAAGGAAGGUAGAGUGCGAAAUCUGAGUGUUAAUUCCCUGGCUUCAUCAAAGGACACUGGUCUUCACAAGGAAACAGACUACAUGAUUCUCCUUUUGGGCUUCAGUAAAAACCCCCUCCUUUCAUCCCUUAGUCUAGGGAUGGUAAGAGGUCAGCAGCUAAGAAUUCUAGGUUCUUUGUGGUUUUCCCGUAUACAUGUCUUUGAUGAUAGCCCCUUUGGAAAUAAAUUCUCCUAGACUUUUUUUUAGGGUGAUUGGGUCAUUGUUUUUUCUCCUGGAACCCUGAGUCCUCAAAUCAACCCUAUCUGAAAUGUGCCAUUAUUGCUACAUUUUAUAAUAGAGGAAGACAGAUGGCUUAUAUAAUUUGAUGAAGAUCACAUGUUUUGUAAGAAGAGCUGGGAUUGGAACUGUAGCAGUCUAGCUUUUCAGAUCAUGCUCUUAAUCACCACAAUAAGUAUCAAUAAGUGUCAAUAAUCACUAUAAUAAGUGGCAUUGUAGCAUAAUGACACUCUACUUAGAGCAAUAGCUUAGUUCAAGUCAUCUUUUCCUAUGAAACUUUCCAUUUAUUUGACUAUUACUGUUUCAUAGAACCUACCCCUCAAGUUUAUUGAGGGUCAUACUUAAAUUUUCUAUGCUUAUGCUCUUUUUUAAUACUCACAGAAAGAGUGUACCUAUCUAGGGGGCAGAGACUACAGGUUCAGUUUUUUAACCCACGGCAAGUAGUCCUAUCCUGAGAACAUGGUACAAAUUUAAUAAAUGUUUGCUGAUUUAUUUAAAAGUUUACUUGCACUUUGUAAGUAGCUCAACAAGGAGUAUCUUCUUGAAUGUGUCAGGAAUAUGGAAAGAAUUAGGCUGCCAUAGAGUGGAAAAUCUUGGGUCUGGCAGCAACUCCAACUAUUCUUUCUUCUUAGCUGUGUGACCUUGGAUGAGUCACUUAACUUCUGUGUAUCAACAUUAUCUCCAUGAGAGUAGUUACCAUGUUUGUGCCCCAUGUAUCUUGUGUGAACCUUGGAAUCUAUUAGACAUUUGAAAAAUAUGUGUUAAAUAGAUAAAUGAAUGUGUAUUUCAAAAAUAAACUUUACUUUUAGAAGA
ensembl:lncRNA novel transcript